GGAUGUGUAGCUCAGCUGGUUAGAGCGCUUCGUUCACAUCGAAGAGGUCGUUGGUUCGAGUCCAAUCUCAUCCACCA
rnacentral:tRNA from 1 species